AGGGUUCGAUUCUGGCUCAGGAUGAACGCUAGCUACAGGCUUAACACAUGCAAGUCGAGGGGCAGCAUAUCGAAAGCUUGCUUUGAUGAUGGCGACCGGCGCACGGGUGAGUAACGCGUAUCCAACCUUCCCUAUACUAGAGGAUAGCCCGGCGAAAGUCGGAUUAAUACUCUAUGUUCUUCGUAGAAGACAUCUGAAAUGAAGCAAAGGUUUACCGGUAUAGGAUGGGGAUGCGUCUGAUUAGGUUGUUGGCGGGGUAACGGCCCACCAAGCCCACGAUCAGUAGGGGUUCUGAGAGGAAGGUCCCCCACAUUGGAACUGAGACACGGUCCAAACUCCUACGGGAGGCAGCAGUGAGGAAUAUUGGUCAAUGGACGAGAGUCUGAACCAGCCAAGUAGCGUGCAGGAUGACGGCCCUAUGGGUUGUAAACUGCUUUUAUACAGGGAUAAAGUGACGUACGUGUACGUUUUUGUAGGUACUGUAUGAAUAAGGACCGGCUAAUUCCGUGCCAGCCGCCGC
rnacentral:rRNA from 1 species